rnacentral:rRNA from 1 species
AUCGAACGCUGGCGGCAUGCCUUACACAUGCAAGUCGAACGGUAACAGGUCUUCGGAUGCUGACGAGUGGCGAACGGGUGAGUAAUACAUCGGAACGUGCCCGAUCGUGGGGGAUAACGAGGCGAAAGCUCUGCUAAUACCGCAUACGAUCUACGGAUGACAGCGGGGGAUCUUCGGACCUCGCGCGGACGGAGCGGCCGAUGGCAGAUUAGGUAGUUGGUGGGAUAAAAGCUUACCAAGCCGACGAUCUGUAGCUGGUCUGAGAGGGUGAUCAGCCACACUGGGACUGAGACACGGCCCAGACUCCUACGGGAGGCAGCAGUGGGGAAUUUUGGACGAUGGGCGAAAGCCUGAUCCAGCCAUGCCGCGUGCAGGAUGAAGGCCUUUGGGUUGUAAACUGCUUUUGUACGGAACGAAAAGCCUCUUUCUAAUAGAGAGGGGUCAUGACGGUACCGGAAGAAUAAGCACCGGCUAACUACGUG